AGCUUCUUCUCAUUGUUUCUGUGCCUAUGGCUGUUGCGUUUCAGCGAUAUGCUGAUGUCACUUGUUGCAGCCUGGGUUGUUGCUACUCUGCUCUCAUUGCUGAGCUCUUCAUUGCGUUACAGCAUGUAGCAACAGGAUGACGGGCAAUGGCUUUAAACUGGAUGAAGGUAGAUUUUGACUAGAUAUUAAGAAGAAAUUCUUUACUGUGAGCAUGGUAAGACACUGGGAACGAGUUGCCUAGUGAGGCUGUGCAUGCCCUCUCCCUGGAAGUAUUCAAGGCCAGGUUGGAUGGGGCUCUGAGCAACCUGGUCUAGUGGGAUGUGUCUCUGCCUACAGCAGGGGAAUUGGAACUAGAUGUUCUUAAAGGUCCCUUGCAACCCAAACCAUUCUGUGAUGAUUUCCAUUUGCAUAAACAAAUCUAGGAGAAAAUGUGUAAGAUACUCAGAUUAAAUUUUCCUAUGCUUUGGAGGCUGCCUUUCCCUCUGUCAUGGUUUUAUGAUUUUUGCUAUUGGUAUUCAACCACGUAACUUCAUGUGGUGCACUGGGAGUUAAAGAGUUAAUGCUCCAGUUCCGUGGAUUGUUGAUAGUUCCAGGUCUACCUGUCUCAGAAGAGAAGAGCAACCACAUAUCCCUGAUGACUGUUCCAUUUCUGUUUUCCAUUCAGAGGGAAAGAUAAAACUGUUUGCAGGUCAUGAAACAGCCCUCUUUUUCCCUUUCUGCUAAUCUCUGCAGCAUGUGUGUUCCCUAGCCAUCUUGCCUUCAGCAUUAGAGUAAGGCCUUCAGUUUUUGGACACGCUCUCAUUUUACUUGAUGUAUUAGCUUUGAUUCCAGUGAUAUUGUAUUGUAUUAUCUUGCGUUCUGAUAUAGUAUUUAGUAAAUUAGCUUUCUUCCUCAGAUUGUUGCCACUGUUUUGUUUUUAGGCCCAUCUCCCUACCCUCUUCUCACUUUUCCAUAGUGUAGGUCCAUGCAUUCUCCUGCCCCAUUAGUCACAGAACCGGGCCAAAGUGGCCUGUAAGCCACCAACAGCCUCUGAUGAAGGUUGGAGGGAACAGUUUCUGAAUGGAGACAGGAGAACUCUGUAUUUCCUCUACUGAGUAAGGCUCUGUAUCUUUUCUUGUAAAUGAACAGCUUAUCAGCUAAGACUUCAUACCCCUGUAGUAUCCAGAUGAAGGGAUGGCAGAGGGAAAGCUUGGUGAUAUUUCCUGACCAAUAAAGAUAAUUAUGAUUACUCUAGUAUUGAUACAAUGAAAUGCACUUAACCCAGAAAUAAAGCCCCAUCUUGAGAAGCAUUUAAUGUAUAAACAGUACUGACACCUGUCUUCUAUUUUCUACUGUAAAUUCAGAGGCAUAGUUUCAUUUACAGAAUCAUAGACUUGCAGGGGUUGGAAGGGACCUCAGAAGGUCGCUGUGUCCAACACCCCAGCUAAAACAGGUUGCAGAGGUAGGUGUCCAGACAGGUCUUGGAUAUCUUCACAGAAGGAGACUCCCCAGCCUCUCUUCUUCUCCACUGAGAAGAACCUGGCCUCAGCCAUUUACCUCGCACCUCCCUUUAGAUAUUCACAAACAUUAAUCAGAUCCCCUCUUGAUAUUCUUUUCCACUGCUUGAAUGGACCCAGGUUACUCAGCCUUUCCUGCUCCAGGUCCUUUAUAAUCUUUGUGGCCCUCUGCUGGACUCCUCCUAGGAGAUCUCUGUCUUUUUUUGAACUGGCAAGCCCUGAAUGGGACACAGUAGUCUAAGUGUGGCCUAAUCUGGGUAGAGUAGUGGAGGAGGGUCACCUCCCUUGACCUGCUGGCAACACUCUUUUUAAUGCAACUGGAGACGUUUACUGGAAAUGUAGACCACAUUUGCAAAAAGACAGUAACUGGAUGAGAAUACAGUGAGCAAAAAUGCAAAAACAUAGCUACUGCUAUCCCUGUAGUGUUUUACAGCAGCUGUAUGCCUUUGCUUAAUGAGACUAACUAAGACCAAAUGCUGCUGCUGAAAUACACCUACUGUGAAUCAUACAGACCCAAUUUUCAUUUGCAACACUUCCCCUCACCUAUCCUGUCCUCUGCUUUGAUUUCAGCAGAUGUCUAGCUGAUUUACACUAGGAUGAAAGAGAAGAAUCAGGCCCAACUUUCCAGGUACCAUCAGUAGCAGCACAGGUGUUCUUUUGCUGGUAGCAGCUGGUGUGUGCUAAUUAGCAGGAAAACAAAAUUCAUUUUUAGUUGCGUAAAAACUUCUAAGAAGGGAGAUGGCUCAACGUAAAGCCUCAGCAUAUUACAAUAUGCUCCACAGGCAUAAAUAACCUGACAGAAUGGAAUUUUCCAUUGCCUUGCACCACACUAUUCAGGAGCUUGAAUUUUGAAAGACAGGAUCUCCUUAAAAUUUGCUUGUACAGCAGAUCUGCAUUAGGUUGCAGAAAAAUUAUUAGGGAAUAUUAAAAGACUCACUUGCUCCCUCCCACUCAGAAAACAGGGCAGAAAGAGAAAACAAAACAGAUCAACAAAACACCACAAUAACUGAUAAGGAAACUCCAGGGUGCUGUGUUUGUAAACAUUUAAUUAGCCAUCUACUUCAGAAGAUGCCAUAUGAUAAGCUACUGUAACAAGCAAAAUGCUCUCUGGAAGUAAGAAGCACUGAGCGCUACCGGGACCAAUCAGUCUGGGCAGCUGGGAAAUAGACUACUGCAGAUUUCAGUGUGGUUGCGUAUUAGUAAGAGAAAAGACAAACAGCAUGCUGGAACUGAUUGGUGAUUUGAAAGGGGAAGGACACGAAAAUCAACAAUCGGUUAAAGACACAACAAAACGCUUACGUGGGCUACGGUGCCUAAUACGAUGGGAAAGUUCUGAGGCAGGGGAGAUUUGGGAGAGUGUUGAGCACAAUUUGACGUAAAAAGACAACAAGAAAGAAACUCUGUACACUUUAAAAAAAAAAAGAGUAUGUGAGUACAUGUUUGAAUCCUGUUCACAGCACAAGAGUUCAGCUCUCAGACUCGCACAGCACCUGGGCUAUGAAGUAUCGUUACAUCCUAUGAGUCCUUAUUUCCAUAAAACAAGACAACGAUAACAAAGGCAGGGACUAUUAUUUUGAAUGUAUCUGCAUCUAAGAAGAGAGAGAUGUUUCCCACAAUGUUUAUCUCAUAUCAGUGUAAUACUCCAGAUACAAAGGAAUUUGGAAAAUAAAAUGCUGAGGACCCAACUAAAACAAAGGAGCGUAAGCACAAGCUAGGUAUUUUGAUCAAGAUGACUACUGCGAGUUUUAUCUGCUGAGAAUAUGAGGAAGGUUUGAAACACCUCACGUAACAGUGCCAGGAUUUGUUAAACCAGGAGUCAUGACAGCAGACCCAUUAUGGAGAAGCGAUGCCUCAGAGUGACUCUUUGCAGAAGGGAUUUGCAGAGAGCACCUUCUGAUACUGCACAUUUUUCUGGGUAUGCCGUACUUGCAAGUAACUAUUGUUCCGACUUCCUCAGAUCACAAACCAGAGAAUCGAGUCACCUCGACGCCAUCAACACGGGUGGUACAAGUAGCACAAGGCAGCUAGUGUUGAUGCGUCACAGAAGUUUGGAACUAUGCUUAGAAAUAGAAACGCGUCACGACUACACAAGAGGUCACACGGCUGCAGAGAAAAUGUUGGGGAGAGUGAGCUGCUGUGAGGUGCUGAGGAGCAAGGCGCAGCCUAAACAGUGCCUGGAUCUUAAAUAAAGGCAAUGACAGAGCCUUUAUUGGCUUUACACAGGAAUAAGGGCUGCAGUGAGGCACUUUAAUACAAGGAUGAGCCUGAGCAUGUGAGUGGUUUCCUCAGUGGUGGGACAACAGAGGUGAGUGCUUGGGGCCCAGGGGUAUGACCACCCCCCCCCCCCCGUGUGAGUGGAGGGGAUAGUGGCUGCCUGCGCCAUGCUGUCUUGGUGCAGGAGCUCCCACGCUGGCAGUGCUCUACUUCCUGCAGGUCCAAGGCUGGAGUGAGGAUCCUGGUGCUGCGAAGCUGUUAGUGACCCUUCAGAGUGAGGUGAGCUCUGUCCUUCUGCCUCCAGCCUGCACGUUUCCCUCUUGAAAUGGGGUUUAUGGCUCCAGCUGGGUGCUGGAGGACAAAAGUGCUCCUGUUUGUGGGGGUGAUAAUGUGCAGGGUGCCUGGGUCCUUCCCUGAGGUGAGGUGCCAUCCUGUGUCAUUGUGAUUCCCUUUCAGCCUUGAAGGUGUGAGGCAGCUAGAUGGGGUUGACAUAAUGAGAGGUAAGCGGUGUGGGGCUUCAGCAGCCUUCUCCUGCUGGAGUUUGAGGUGGUUGUGCUGCUCUCUGCUCUGAGGGAGCCCUUGUACUCCCUUGGUGGGGAGUGCAGGGG